UCCCUUGUGGUCCAGUGGUUAAAACUCUGUGCUCCCAAUGCAGGAGCCCAGGUUCAAUCCCUGGUCAGGGAA
rnacentral:tRNA from 1 species